rnacentral:lncRNA from 1 species
UCUUUUACAGGAAGUAGUUAUUUUUCUGUUACGAUACCUGUGCCACUAUCAUCUACGGGACAGCCCAGGUCCCUAAAUCUGUCUACGAGGAUAAUGAGACCAUCGCCAUGCACGAGGCUGCAGAGAUCAGAGAGGAGAAGAGGAAGGAAGCGAAGCUUCUGGGGGUGGACAGAGAGGGAGACAUCUUCAGCCUGUCUCAGCUGGUCAGCAUCUGAACAUCCCUGGCCCUCCACUGAACCUCUCCACCUCAAGCUCUGCAAGAUGCAGCCUCCAGACAUCCACUGUAGAGACCUGCCUACAGGGGGCAGAAGCAGUGUGUGAGAAAGAUGCUUAAGUCUGGAGCCAGCCCCAGCAUCAAGAAUGAGCAACCAAACCGUUUUUGACCUGGCCUGCAGUGAGGAGAUUAAGCAGAUUCUGGUGGGCAGUCAUGACAAGAGUGCCAGUUUUCUGGGAUGGCAUUCCUAUUGGGUGGUCAUUCAAACGGAGUUAUAUUCUGGUAUCCAAGACAGUGAGUCUUUAAGCUACUUCCACCCUUACUUCCCUAUCCCUCCCUCCCUAUUGGAUACACAGCAACCUGCUCCUCUUUUCCCCUGAAGAGCCUGAGGCAGUGCAGGGAUAUC